rnacentral:tRNA from 1 species
UUUUGCGUAGUCUUGUUGGUUAUCAUGCUAGUCUCACACACUAAAGGUCCUUGGUUUGAACCGAGGGUCAAAC